UACUUCCUAGCACUCCCGAGCCUGGGACUGAAUACCCUGGCCCCUACCCCACCCCAUGUCCGCCCUUCCCCAUCAGCCCCUGGCUUGGCAUUGUCUGAGGAUCCACCUUGCACCCAGUUCCCCUCUGUGGCUCCGUGCCUGAGACCUCCUUUCUUCCCUCCUGGCCUUCCCUCACCCCACAAACAUCCUGAGCUCCUCGGGGCCCAGCGCUAUUGGGCAGGGACACAGACGCCUUGGAUGAUGCUUGGAGAACUUAAGUGAAUUACUGCCCUUCAGAACCUUGAUUUCUUCAUCCAUAAAAACGGGAGCAAAAUACUCCCCCGGAGUGCGAGUGAGGCCGUGGGUACAAGUUCAACCUUGCCUCCCUCCCCUCCUGGGACUGCCCCAAAGAGGCAAAUCCAGAAGCUAGGAGUUCCCAGAUGGUGGGUUAGCUGGAGGGCCACCACGAGAGUUUGGGAGGAAGAGUUUUCCGGAGCAGAGAUGGUUCUGCCAUGCAGUCCUUUGGGGGCUUUUAGACAAGAUGGCAGCCAGAGAAGAGAGGCCGGAGGCCAGGCAAGGAGAAGAGAUCUACAAGGCUUACAGGUCAGAGCCAUUCAUGUUUCUUAGGCCCCUGGCUUCCAGGUGGAACAGGUCCUGAGGCCCCUCUGCCCACCUGUCAGUCAAGGCCCUUUGAAAGCCCCCUCCACCUGCCCUUUAUCCAUUAACUCCUUCCUUCAACAAAGGUUUGUGAAGGACUUCCUCCGUGUCAGGCAGGGUGGGCUUCCUGGGUGGGCAACCGUGGGGACGCCCAGGCCCCAAAGCUCAAAAGGGCCUCACGCUUGGCUUAAUGUUCUGCUGCUUCUGUGUUGCAAUUCUUCCUAAUCUAUGAACAAAGGGCCCCUGUUUUCAUUUUGCACUGGGCCCUGCAAAUUACGCGCCCGUCCCAGUGCCAAGCACAGUGCUGGGCUGGAGGGCACCGCAGAGAGCGAGCCCACACGGCGGCCUCCAUCGCAAAGCUGGCUUUCAGCCCAGAGGAGACGAAGCGGGAACCUUCAACGGGAUUAGAGGUCCGGAGGGGUGGCAGUGCUGUCCCUUGAUUCUCUUGGAGAAGGAUGUGGUGCACUCAGCCGGGGCCAGGCAGCACAGGGAACACAGGAGGGUCAGGGAGCAGAGACCCGAACGGGCAUCGUGGUGGGUAGGAAGCAAACACAGGGGCCUGUGGAGGCAGUCAGAGGAGUGCUGGUGGGCCUCCUGUGUCCACGGGUGAGGGGUGCGCCCUAGAUCAUCUUGUGAUAAGCCACGGGGCUAAGUCAACAGGAUGAGGCAGUGGGAAGGAGAUCUCCUGGACCAGAUGCCAUUGACCUGCGUCCUGGAAGGAGGAGGGAGAGCCAGCUUCGCCAGGGAAAGGCAUCCUAGGCAGAGCGACCAGCAGGUGCACGGGCUGUGCAGAACAAGGAACAGACGCGGGGCUUUGUUGCCCCUGAGCUCACUUCCGUCACCAGCUGAGAUGAAGGAGGUUACUUUCUUCCCGAGUCCUCUGCUGCAGCCCUGUCUGCUUUUUAAUCCACUCUUAAGUUUUUUAGGGGGAUUGUGACCAGCGAGGGAGGCAGGGGGUAGGGGCAGCAGGUGCUGGAGCUACCGAUUUACAUAUGAAAACAACUGAUUGGUCAGCAUCUGCCCUGCUCCCCUCAACCCCAGGAAGGCCCUGAAGCCAGGAUUAUGGUUCACCCCUCGGCACAUCCCACUGGGAGCCCAGUGGAGCCUGGCCCACAGCAGGUGCUCAGUGCGGGUGUGUUCUUCUCAGACCACAGAGAAGCAGACCGGGAUUCUGAGAGUGUCACGCUACUCAUUCGGGAGGAGACCAUCAUCCAAAGCCACAUCUGUCUGCACAGCCCGGGCUUUGAAGCACCUGGUGGUUUAGUGGCCUGGGAGCAGAUCAUUUCUCCCCCUCACUUGAUCCGAAAGCAAACCUCCAUCCUGACCAUGCUGUCGAAUUUCCCAAAUCCACCCCCCCCCCAGCUGUCAAAAUGCGCAUACCCACACCCCUGGUCCCCAUGGGCCCUGUGAUUCUGCACCUUUACUCGGUUCCCAGGGGGUGCUGAUGUCGCCCGGUGUGUGGACUCUACAUUUCCGAAGUUAGAAUUAACUUUCCUCCUCUUCCACUAAAGGAGACCACACACGAGACAAACACAACAGAAGGAAGGGACCCGGGGCCCAGAUCUAACAGGGAGGGCUGGGGAGAGGGCGAGCUGGAAGCCACAUUCCUGUGGGGGCGUGGGGGGGGGGGUGCCAUCCAGGAAUUGUAUUCUGACGUUCCCACAGAAUGCUAACUUUCAAGAGAAGCGGAAACCCUGCUUUUAUGUGACGGCUCUCAGUGUGUAUGGGCAGCUAAUUCAAUUUGUUUUUCAACUGUUAGACCAAAGAAAAGCCAUCUACCAGCCAGAUGCCGGACUCCAGUUUGCCACUGUCCCUGUAUAGGUCUCUGCUGAGUUUGGAGGGUGUAUGCAGCCUCCCCACUCCCCACACCAAAGGACCCCAAGCAGCUGGAACUUUUGAUCAAGGACGCUUUUCACAUAUGCUCGACACAGAAAACAGAAACAGAGCUUCUCCAGUUAAACAGAGCAAAGAAGGGUGGCUGUAAUUGCUCCAAUUAACAAAGAAGAAUGUAGAAUGCCCAGUUAAAUGUGAAUUUCGGACAAAUAAUGAACGAUUUUUUUUAAUUUUUUUAUUUAUUUUGGGGAGAGAAA